UUUAUUUUCAUUUCAGCGAGCAGCACAAUGACGCCAAGUAACUGGUUAUAUUCAUUUAAAUAAAUAGUUGAUAAUUUAUUAGCUGUCAGCAUUACAUAUCAUUAUUAUACUUGUACAUAGAGCAUCAGACCAUGCAGGUGGUGCAUCUCCAGCCAAAUUCAAACCCCCUAGCUCGACGUCACCUCCAGUCAUUGAUUCCGGGGCUACAAGAGCCAUUCUGUCCGACAAAUUCUGUGUUAAAAUAGUAAUUAUCGCAUGAUGAUUUGCUGUCAAUUGGCAUAUGGUUAAUCAAACCAAGUUUGAAGAAAUUACUGUGGGCUAACAUCAGUAAAUGGAUUAACGAAAAUUUUCUUACUUGUUCAGAGUAUAUGUGUCGAGUCUGUGAUGCAUUGUUACGCAUAAGAAUAAAAGGUUCUGUUAAACUUCGA